AUUGAACGCUGGUGGCAUGCCUUACACAUGCAAGUCGAACGGUAACAGGUCUUCGGAUGCUGACGAGUGGCGAACGGGUGAGUAAUACAUCGGAACGUGCCUAGUAGUGGGGGAUAACUACUCGAAAGAGUGGCUAAUACCGCAUGAGAUCUACGGAUGAAAGCAGGGGAUCGCAAGACCUUGUGCUACUAGAGCGGCCGAUGGCAGAUUAGGUAGUUGGUGUGAUAAAAGCUUACCAAGCCGACGAUCUGUAGCUGGUCUGAGAGGACGAUCAGCCACACUGGGACUGAGACACGGCCCAGACUCCUACGGGAGGCAGCAGUAGGGAAUUUUGGACAAUGGGCGAAAGCCUGAUCCAGCAAUGCCGCGUGCAGGAUGAAGGCCUUCGGGUUGUAAACUGCUUUUGUACGGAACGAAAAGCCCCGGGUUAAUACCCUGGGGUCAUGACGGUACCGUAAGAAUAAGCACCGGCUAACUACGUGCCAGCCGCCGCGGUAA
rnacentral:rRNA from 1 species